AUUGAACGCUGGCGGCAGGCCUAACACAUGCAAGUCGAGCGAGAAAGGUCUUCGGACUGAGUACAGCGGCGGACGGGUGAGUAAAGCGUAGGAAUCUACCUGGUAGUGGGGGAUAGCUUGGGGGAAACUCAAACUAAUACCGCAUACGCCCUACGGGGGAAAGCGGGGGACCUUCGGGCCUCGCGCUAUCAGAUGAGCCUGCGUAGGAUUAGCUAGUUGGUGAGGUAAAGGCUCACCAAGGCGACGAUCCUUAGCUGGUCUGAGAGGAUGAUCAGCCACACUGGGACUGAGACACGGCCCAGACUCCUACGGGAGGCAGCAGUGGGGAAUAUUGCGCAAUGGGCGAAAGCCUGACGCAGCCAUGCCGCGUGUGUGAAGAAGGCCUUAGGGUUGUAAAGCACUUUCAAUUGGGAAGAAAAGUUAGGUCGUUAAUAGCGGCCAGCCCUGACAUUACCUUUAGAAGAAGGACCGGCUAACUCCGUGCCAGCAGCCGCGGUAAAGUCGUACG
rnacentral:rRNA from 1 species